rnacentral:lncRNA from 1 species
CUACUUGCCGGCCACAGCCUAGAGCCCCCAAAGCAUGGAGGAGCUUAGCGAGCCACACAGCAUUCCCCAUUCACAUCUGGGAAGUCAGCCCCUCACUGAAGUGGGUCCUGCACCCGCCAGCUGUGCACGAUCAGAGGUGUGAGGCUAUGGACCUGGUCACCCACUGUGCAGAGAGGCAUGAGGUCAUGGACCUGGUCACUUGUUGUGCACGAUCAGAGGUCUGCAAGGUUCCAGACCUGGUCACCCACUAUACACAGAGGUGUGAGGUUAUGGACCUGGUCACCCGCUGUGUACGAAUAGAGGUGUGUGUGUGAUUAGCGACCUGGUCACCAGCUGUGCACAAUCAGAGCCAUGCGAGGUUACAGACCUGGUCACCAGCACCCAAUCAGAAGCUUUUGAGGUUAGAGACCUGUUCACUUGCUGUGCACAGAAGUGUGAGGUUAUGGACCUGGUCACCCGCUGUGCAUGAUCAGAGGUGUGCGAGGUUAGGGACCUGGUUGCCUGCUGUGUCCAAUCAGAGCCAGGCAAGGUUAUAGACCUAGUCACCAGCUGCACCUAAUCAGAAACUUUCAAGGUUACAGACCUGGUCACCCACUGUGCAGGAUCAGAGGUGUGCGAGGUUAGGGACCGUGUGUGUGGUGAUGGACCUGAUCACUAGCCAAGACACCUGACGUUUCCAGUGUCAUCCCGGCUUCUUUCAAAACUUGAAAAGUCUUCAGAUAUUUCUCAAAAGCUCGUCAAUCCUUGAAAACGAUAUGCGUGCGCACAGGUGAGUUUGUUGCUGCACAUUCCUUUCAGUACCGAUGACUGAAGAUUGAAGGUUAGAGCAUUCCAGCCCCGUGCCCAUGUCCCAUCCCAUCUGCGAAAACUUCAGCACAAACAUCCCCCUCUCUGAAGCUCCCUGAACCCCGUGGCAGGCCUGGGACUCAGGUCCAGUGUCCUGUCAGUUACACUGAACAAAAUGUAAUUCAACACUGGCCAUGGGCCCUGUGCUUUAAACAUCUAAAAACCACAUAGGAACCUCCCAAAGAACUACAAUCUAUGAAAGCUUUCAUGGCUAGUAUUUUAGGAAGACUGACCAGUCUUGACCUAAAUCAAAGCCGACACUACCCAAAUUAACUCUGACCCCAGCUUCGUGCAAAAGCAGCCAUCACCUGGCCAUCGGAGUGACCAACAGCCUGGGCACAGCCAGGACCAGCGCCACUCCCUCCCUGCACCUUAAGCGGGCUUCUGAGCUGCUGUCCAUGACCAGUGAUGGUGAUGCCCAGAGCAGCUUUCCAGGAACGCAGUAAACCUUUCAGGUCCUCACCUCAUGAGGAUGGCCAUGUAUAAAUCAACCACCUUUGUUACUGCCCUGUCAUUCCCAAAGAGGGGAUGGGU